rnacentral:lncRNA from 1 species
UGCUCAUCCUCUUCUUGUCUUGCAGACUAAGAAGCAGAAACUUUUACAGAAAGAAAAGAAAAAAAGAAGGCAGGUGGACAGGAACAAUUACAAGAGAUGAAGCUGGAGGCUUGAUGGAUUUUCAAUACCAGAUUCCAUUCCUUCCUGGGGCCCAGUCGUGGUGAAUACUCUAGAGAGCAGACUGGCAUGGACCUGCAGUUAAUCGAAGAGGAUAUUUAAUUUCUGUACUGUUGGAUGGGAAAGGAGAGAGAGCAGUAGGUAGGUAGGAAUAAUAUAUUUGGAAAUAAGUGAUGUAUCAAGUUCAUUGUCUAUGGAGUGAUUCUGACAUUGUGUACAUGUGAUCUGCUGUUUGGCAAAGGUACCCUUAUGGAAAAUCCAAUCACUACCAAUAGCUCUGCUUAAGGCUUAAAGUUUAUGAGACAUAUUAGCUCUUCUGGAGAUAGUCCAUCUUUAAUUGUCAUACACUAGAGCUGUUGCUAUGUUGUGGUUGUUUUGCAAAACUGAUGAUUGUGCUAAGAGUUGAGCUAAAGAACUACCAGAGUCACUCUCUACUGGAGUUAGGCAGAUUUCAUUCAUG